rnacentral:rRNA from 1 species
CGGGUGAGUAAUGUAUAGGAACUUGCCUAGUAGUGGGGGAUAACGUGUGGAAACGCACGCUAAUACCGCAUACGCUCUACGGAGGAAAGCGGGGGAUCUUCGGACCUCGUGCUACUAGAUGGGCCUAUAUCAGAUUAGCUAGUUGGUAAGGUAAUGGCUUACCAAGGCGACGAUCUGUAGCUGGUUUGAGAGAAUGAUCAGCCACACUGGGACUGAGACACGGCCCUG